CCUACGGGGGGCAGCAGUAGGGAAUCUUCCACAAUGGGCGCAAGCCUGAUGGAGCAACACCGCGUGAGUGAAGAAGGGUUUCGGCUCGUAAAGCUCUGUUGUUGGAGAAGAACGUGCGUGAGAGUAACUGUUCACGCAGUGACGGUAUCCAACCAGAAAGUCACGGCUAACUACGUGCCAGCAGCCGCGGUAAUACGUAGGUGGCAAGCGUUAUCCGGAUUUAUUGGGCGUAAAGGGAGCGCAGGCGGUCGCUUAGGUCUGAUGUGAAAGCCUUCGGCUUAACCGAAGAAGUGCAUCGGAAACCGGGCAACUUGAGUGCAGAAGAGGACAGUGGAACUCCAUGGGUAGCGGUGGAAUGCGUAGAUAUAUGGAAGAACACCAGUGGCGAAGGCGGCUGUCUGGUCUGCAACUGACGCUGAGGCUCGAAAGCAUGGGUAGCGAACAGGAUUAGAUACCCGAGUAGUC
rnacentral:rRNA from 1 species